AUCCAGGGAUGGGAAUCGAACCCACAAUGUUCAGCUUACCGGGCAGAUGCCAUGUCCACUAGGCUACCCUGGA